UGAUCUGAGACUUAUGUCCUGGAGAUUGGAAAAGAUGUGGAGGACACAGCAUGAGUAAGAUGAUGGCAGACACAGCUAGUGGCCAUCAGUAUCCACAUUCCCUUUGCCUUAGGUAAUAGAAUCCGAGUGUUGCUGGCACAUAGCUGCCGGGGAAGGAUUAUGUGUCCCAGCCUCCAGCACAUGGGCAUGUGACCAGCUGCUGGCCAGUGGGGUAUGGAUGGAAGAAAUGUCUCCAGCGUCUGAACUAAGCCACUGUCUCUUGGAUGGCUCUAAACUGCAAUUCUAAGGAGGAUCAUCUUAAAUGUAUGAAACAAUUUCUAAAUUUGGAACACACAAACCAAUUCGGGGCAUGGGAAUUAGUCUGCAUUCCGGAUCAAUUAGGGAAAUAGUUUGCAGUCACUACGACAUUUUGAAACACGUCAAAUGAGAAGGAGAAACCAACUGUUGUAUGUCACCGUCACAAAGAACAAAUGUGUGAGUGGAGGCUUGGAUAAACUAAGAGAUGGUGCCAGGGGCACAGAUGAUAGCGACUGCCCCUCAUGUGCUGCUUGGCCCCAGGAACAAGCUCAAUCCAUCCUAGGAUCAACACUAGGAGGGAGGUAUGAUUAUUAUAAUCACACUGCAAAUGAAGAACUUCACUGCCCAGAGGCCACAGGCUGCUCGGGACUGAGAGGACGCUUGCAUUCGGAUGCGGAGCCGGCUCUCCCAAAGGCUUAGUCUAGACCUCCCAAAGUGGAAGCUGAGUCAUGGAGGCACAGAUGGGCUGCUGCAGGCAGCCAAGGCACAGCACGCCUCAGGACUCUGAAGCUCAGAGACGUCCCACAGCUCCUGAUCCACGUUGAAUGCUCCUGUGGGCAUUCAGUGCUCUGUGGUCCUUGUGGCCUAUCCUGCGAAUGUCCUCUGAUAGUCCAAGAAAUGCAGGAAGCCAUUGGCAUGGGAGGGACUGUCUGUCGGUGACCCCCCAGUUGUGCUGAGAGCUCCUGAGCAGUCUCCAGGGUAAAAUCUCUGCAUCAAGCCCUUUUAUACUUGGGUUCUAGACUCUUCCCAAGUCCCAUUGGAAAAGACUGGAUGACACAAUCACAAUGGAAACGAACCUUUCUGGUUGUUUAGCUGGUAAGGGCACCACCUGCCAGCUGUUAGGACCUGGCAUGUACUGAGAGGGGCCGUCUAGUGGAAGUAGGGCCUAGUGCCAAUGGGUGGGAGUGGACACCCACCGAGAUUCCAAGGGGUCAUGCUCCCCCUCUGGCUUCUCAGGCUUCACCCCAACAGCAGGAUGGUGGGGAGGAAAGGUCAGGCCCUAAGAUCCAGGUGAUGGGGANAGAGAACAGCAGGAUUUACAGCAGGGUUUACAUGGAAAAUGCACAGAAACAGCAGGAUGGUGGGGAGGAAAGGUCAGGCCCUAAGAUCCAGGUGAUGGGGAUUCAUCUGGGAGCUCUAUCUAGCCUGAGGUGUCAGCCACUGAGGACAUUGCUGUGCAGUCAGCAAGCUGCUCUGGUGCUGAGGCUGCUCGUCCAGGGCCUCCGUCUUUGAUGACGGGAGCCACGUGAAUGUAGUGGACGUAGUCAGCUGACAAAGUGAUGGGGGGCCUAGUGGGGAAGCACAUUGUCAGUGGUACAGCCCGUCCUGAGGAAAGGCCUGGGGCCAGCGCCGGGCGCGGUGCAAGGGCAGUGAAGCAGGAGGCGGGAGGCAUCGUUUCUGGCCUCAGGGAGCUUCCUGAGCGGAACAGAGCCUGGGAGCGGGUCUGAUCGCCUUCUGCUGUGUUCCAAAGUCACGGUGGUGCCUGGUCAUUUAAACCUAUGUUAUUCGCCUACACACACUCUCACUGAAUUUUAAUAACUGGUAAGCUGGGGGCUGUGGCCAUCCCCCGUCCACCCCCACGAGCUGUGACAAAAUGAAGUCUGGGGCUAAACCACCUGCUACAGGCUGCACAGCUUGUCUAUUCGGAAGCAAACAUGUGAGCCCAGGUGGCUUGGCUUAGAAAUUCACAUGUAAAACCUGUAAUGCCAUUCAGCCUCAGCUUCACCCUUAAUUCCAAUGAACCAUAAUCAAGAAAAAGUAGCUAUGAUAGCUGAUAGCUGAUACUCCCAGGGGUUUACUAACUUCCAGGUGCUAUAGUGCUUUCUGUGCAUUUUCCAUGUAAACCCUGCAGCCACCCUGUAGAAUUGGCAUUCGUGGUAUCUGGGUUUUAUAGAUGAGGAAAACAAAGCUCAGAGAGGUUAAGUGACUGUGCCCAGGUCACUCAGGGUGGAAGUAGUGGAGCUGGGAUUUGAACCAGGCAAUCACCAGGCCUCUAGGUGUAGCUUAUUCUCCAAAGUGGACUAAUCCCUCUGAGAUGUGCUUCAGGAAAAGAGCGUUCCACGACCAUGCAAGUCUGCAACAACCCUGAGGGCUCCCCUCCCCUCCAGGAGACUCAAAAUGCUCCUUAGCAGGCAAGAGGCUCAAAGGAGACACACUUCCAGUUACAAGAUGAGCAGGGGCGAGGUGUGUGGGGGUGUCAUGCACAGCUGGUGCCUACAGCUCCUGAUACUGUAUCCCACCCAAGUGCUGCUACCACAGUAGAUCUUAACUGGGACAAAUGGUAACUCUGUGGCAGGAUGGAGCUGGGGGCCCUUGCCAUGCUCUCUCUGGGUCUUGCUUCUCUUAUGUUAUCAUUUCUCAAGUUAUUUUUUUGCUUUAAAAAGAAAAAAAAAUCUGAUUCUAUACUGGUUCUAUCAAUAAAUCCACAAUAGACUGCA
ensembl:lncRNA